rnacentral:rRNA from 1 species
GCGGCGGACGGGUUAGUAACGCGUGGGAACGUACCCUUCUCUACGGAAUAGCCAUUGGAAACGAUGAGUAAUACCGUAUGUGCCCUUCGGGGGAAAGAUUUAUCGCCAAAGGAUUGGCCCGCGUUGGAUUAGGUAGUUGGUGGGGUAAUGGCCUACCAAGUCUACGAUCUUUAGCUGGUUUGAGAGGAUGAUCAGCAACACGGGGACUGAGACACGGCCCAGACUCC